rnacentral:miRNA from 1 species
UUACUCUGACAGCAAAACACAGU